CGUCUACGAGUUUGAUCCUGGCUCAGGAUGAACGCUAGCGGCAGGCUUAAUACAUGCAAGUCAAGGGGGUAGCAAUACAACCGGCGCACGGGUGCGUAACGCGUAUGCAACCUACCUUUAACUGGAGCAUAGCCCCGAGAAAUCGGGAUUAAUACUCCAUAACAACAAGAAGUGGCAUCACUUUUUAUUUAAAGCUUUGGCGGUUAAAGAUGGGCAUGCGUGACAUUAGUUAGUUGGUGAGGUAACGGCUCACCAAGACUUCGAUGUCUAGGGGUUCUGAGAGGAUUAACCCCCACACUGGUACUGAGACACGGACCAGACUCCUACGGGAGGCAGCAGUGAGGAAUAUUGGUCAAUGGGCGCAAGCCUGAACCAGCCAUGCCGCGUGAAGGAUGAAGGCCUUAUGGGUGUAAACUUCUUUUAUACGGGAAUAAACUUAGUUACGUGUAACUAACUGCAGGUACCGUAUGAAUAAGCACCGGCUAACUCCGUG
rnacentral:rRNA from 1 species